GGAGGCUGUAGCUCAGUGGUAGAGCGUCCGUCUUGCAUGCAGCGGGUCCCGGGUUCAAUUCCUGGCAUCUCCC